GACGAACGCUGGCGGCGUGCUUAACACAUGCAAGUCGAACGGAAAGGCCCUGCUUUUGUGGGGUGCUCGAGUGGCGAACGGGUGAGUAACACGUGAGUAACCUGCCCUUGACUGUGGGAUAACUUCAGGAAACUGGGGCUAAUACCGGAUAGGAGCUCCUGCUGCAUGGUGGGGGUUGGAAAGUUUCGGCGGUUGGGGAUGGACUCGCGGCUUAUCAGCUUGUUGGUGGGGUAGUGGCUUACCAAGGCUUUGACGGGUAGCCGGCCUGAGAGGGUGACCGGCGACAUUGGGACUGAGAUACGGCCCAGACUCCUACGGGAGGCAGCAGUGGGGAAUAUUGCACAAUGGGCGGAAGCCUGAUGCAGCAACGCCGCGUGCGGGAUGACGGCCUUCGGGUUGUAAACCGCUUUCGCCUGUGACGAAGCGUGAGUGACGGUAAUGGGUAAAGAAGCACCGGCUAACUACGUG
rnacentral:rRNA from 1 species